GGCUCCGUGGCUUAAUGGUUACGGCUUCUGCCUCACAAGCAGAAGGUUCAGGGAGCAAAUCCCGGUCGGUACCU
rnacentral:tRNA from 1 species